AGGACGAACGCUGGCGGCGUGCUUAACACAUGCAAGUCGAGCGGAAAGGCCCUUCGGGGUACUCGAGCGGCGAACGGGUGAGUAACACGUGAGUAAUCUGCCCCUAGCUCUGGGAUAGCUCCGGGAAACCGGGAUUAAUACCGGAUAUGACCACUUUAGACAUCUGUUGUGGUGGAAAGAAUUUCGGCUAGGGAUGAGCUCGCGGCCUAUCAGCUUGUUGGUGGGGUAAAGGCCCACCAAGGCGACGACGGGUA
rnacentral:rRNA from 1 species